rnacentral:miRNA from 1 species
AGGCACUGACAGAUCUGAUGGU